rnacentral:rRNA from 1 species
UACAGAGGUCUCAAGCGUUGUUCGGAUUCAUUGGGCGUAAAGGGUGCGUAGGUGGCGCCAUAAGUCAGGUGUGAAAUCUCGGGGCUUAACUCCGAAACUGCAUUUGAUACCGUGGUGCUUGAGGACUGGAGAGGAGACUGGAAUUCACGGUGUAGCAGUGAAAUGCGUAGAGAUCAUGAGGAAGACCAGUGGCGAAGGCGGGUCUCUGGACAGUUCCUGACACUGAGACACGAAGGCCAGGGGAGCAAACGGG